UACGUAGGGGGGCAAGCGUUGUCCGGAUUCAUUGGGCGUAAAAGAGCGUGUAGGCGGCCAGGUAGGUCGGUUGUGAAAACUGGAGGCUCAACCUUCAGAGGUCGACCGAAACCAUCUGGCUAGAGUCCGGGAGAGGAGAGUGGGAAUUCCUGGUGUAGCGGUGAAAAUGCGCAGAUAUCAGGGAAAGAACACCCCGUGGCGAAAAGCGGGCUCUCUGGAAACGGUACUGACGCUGAGACGCGAAAAAGCGUGGGGGGGAGCGAAACAGGGAUUUAGAAAAACCCCCCCAGUAGUCCCAGACCAAAGUCU
rnacentral:rRNA from 1 species